CCACGGCCACAUUAACCAUCACUGGGGUCCAAGCCGAGGACGAGGCUGUCUAUUUCUGUGAUGUCCUGUCAGUCACCUCCGAUGUCAGCCAAAGUGGGAGACACUGUGAAGAUCACCUGCUCUGGGGGCAGCUACAACUAUGGCUGGUACCAGCAGAAGGUCCCUGGCAGUGCCCCUGUCACUGUGAUCUAUGCUAAUAGCAACAGACCCUCAGACAUCCCUUCGCGAUUCUCCGGAUCCCAGUCCGGCUCCACGGGCACAUUAACCAUCACUGGGGUCCAAGCCGAGGACGAGGCUGUCUAUUUCUGUGGUUCUCUGAUCCAGGCAGCGCUGACUCAGCCGUCCUCAUUGUCUCACAGGGUGGGAGAAACCGUCAAGAUCACCUGCUCUGGGAGUAGCUACAGCUAUGACUGGUACCAGCAAAAGGUCCCUGGCAGUGCCCCUGUCACUGUGAUCUACGCCAAUAGCAACAGACCCUUGAGCAUCCCUUCGCGAUUCUCCGGAUCCAAAUCCGGCUCCACGGCCACGUUAACCAUCACUGGGGUCCAAGCCGAGGACGAGGGUCUCUAUUUCUGUGGUAGCUGGGACAGCAGCAUUCCUGCUGGUAUAUUCGGGGCUGGGACCAUGUUGACCAUCGCAGGCCAGCCCGUGGUCGCUCCCAACCUCUACGUCUUCCAACCGCCCUCUGAGCAGAUCUUGAAGGAGAACAAAGCCAUUCUAGUGUGUCUGAUACAGGGCUUUUACCCCAGCCCUGUGGAAGUGGAAUGGGUGGCUGACGGCACCGUCCUCACAAACAACGUGCAGACCAGUCAGCCCGUGCGGCAGAGCGACAGCAAGUACAUGGCCAGCAGCUACCUGACACUGGAUGCCAACCAGUGGCAAAAUUUCAGCACAUUCUCCUGCAAGGUCAAGCACGAGGCUGGCAAUGUGGAGAAGACAGUGAACAGAUCCUACUUUGCCAACAAGCUUAUUUUCCGGCUUGUGGGUGGAGGCUUAAAAGGGAGUCAAGGUCCACAGCACAGCCCCAUCAUUGCAGGGACGUGGAACUGGUGGGAUCACACCAUGGCCUGGGUCCCUCUCCUCCUCGUGGUGCUCGCCCACACCUCAGGUUCUCUGAUCCAGGCAGCACUGACUCAGCCGUCCUCAUUGUCUCACAGGGUGGGAGAAACUGUCAAGAUCACCUGCUCUGGGAGUAGCUACAGCUAUGACUGGUACCAGCAAAAGGUCCCUGGCAGUGCCCCUGUCACUGUGAUCUACGCUAAUAGCAACAGACCCUCGAACAUCCCUUCGCGAUUCUCCGGAUCCAAGUCCGGCUCCACGGGCACAUUAACCAUCACUGGGGUCCAAGCCGAGGACGAGGCUGACUAUUACUGUGUUGACUGGGAUGUGUUCGGGUCCGGGACCCGUGUGACCGUUAUAAGCCAGCCCGAGGUUUCUCCCACCCUCUACGUCUUCCAGCCGCCCUCUGAGCAGAUCUUGAAGGAGAACAAAGCCAUUCUGGUGUGUCUGAUACAGGGCUUCUACCCCGGCCAUGUGGAAGUGGAAUGGGUGGCUGACGGCACCACCCUCACAAACAACGUGCAGACCAGUCAGCCCGUGCGGCAGAGCGACAGCAAGUACAUGGCCAGCAGCUACCUGUCACUGACUCCCAAACAGUGGCAAAGUUACAGCACAUACUCCUGCAAGGUCAAGCACGAGGCUGGCAAUGUGGAGAAGACAGUGAACAGAUCCUAGUGCCCCUAAACCCACUGGGACCUCCUCGCAUCCACCAUCCCUUUGCUGGCUCCCUCCCUCCUCCCCACUUCUGGGGACAGUGGCUCCCCCCAGCCACCCACCUCGCUCCCCACAUCCCCCUGUCCCCUGCUCCUGUCCCCCCACUCUGAGUGUCAGACAAAUAAAA